AUCACAAGGAUAUGUAAACUUUUGAUCAGAGUCCUUUGGGUAGUUUCUGUUGUCAUUAUGAUUGGAAAAGAGUCAACACAGUUGACUGAUAAUAAAUAGCUUCAUCCAAACACUACACAUGAGGGUGUUGUAGAAAU